rnacentral:rRNA from 1 species
UACGUAGGGUGCAGGCGUUAAUCGGAAUUACUGGGCGUAAAGCGUGCGCAGGCGGUUUGCUAAGACAGGUGUGAAAUCCCCGGGCUUAACCUGGGAACUGCGCUUGUAACUGGCAAACUUGAGUGUGGCAGAGGGGGGUGGAAUCCACGUGUAGCAGUGAAAUGCGUAGAGAUGUGGAGGAACACCGAUGGCGAAGGCAGCCCC